ACAAUGGAGAGUUUGAUCCUGGCUCAGGAUGAACGCUAGCGGCAGGCCUAAUACAUGCAAGUCGGACGGGAUUUGGGAGCUUGCUCCUGAUGAGAGUGGCGCACGGGUGCGUAACACGUAUGUAACCUACCUUAAUCUGGGGGAUAGCCUCUCGAAAGAGAGAUUAACACCGCAUAACAUCACGAUACGGCAUUGUAAUGUGAUCAAAUAUUUAUAGGAUUAAGAUGGGCAUGCGGAACAUUAGCUAGUUGGUAAGGUAAUGGCUUACCAAGGCUACGAUGUUUAGGGGAUCUGAGAGGAUGACCCCCCACACUGGUACUGAGACACGGACCAGACUCCUACGGGAGGCAGCAGUAAGGA
rnacentral:rRNA from 1 species